rnacentral:rRNA from 1 species
AGCCCAACGAGAUCGGGAUAACACCUGGAAACAGAUGCUAAUACCGGAUAACAACAGAUGAUGCCUAUCAACUGUUUAAAAGAUGGUUCUGCUAUCACUCUUGGAUGGACCUGCGGUGCAUUAGCUAGUUGGUAGGGUAACGGCCUACCAAGGCGAUGAUGCAUAGCCGAGUUGAGAGACUGAUCGGCCACAUUGGGACUGAGACACGGCCCAAACUCCUACGGGAGGCAGCAGAC